GUGUCAGCCGCCGCGGUAAUACGUAGGGUGCGAGCGUUAAUCGGAAUUACUGGGCGUAAAGCGUGCGCAGGCGGUUUCGUAAGCUGGAGGUGAAAUCCCCGGGCUUAACCUGGGAAUGGCCUUCAGGACUGCGAGGCUAGAGUGCGGCAGAGGGAGGUGGAAUUCCACGUGUAGCAGUGAAAUGCGUAGAUAUGUGGAGGAACACCGAUGGCGAAGGCAGCCUCCUGGGCCAGCACUGACGCUCAUGCACGAAAGCGUGGGGAGCAAACAGGAUUAGAAACCCUCGUAGUCC
rnacentral:rRNA from 1 species